GCAGGAUCUGGGGCUGGAAUUUCUGGAAGAAGUCUAGCAUCUUCCGGAAUUGAUCGAGCCUCCUUCAUACUGUGGAAGAUGUGGGUUCAGACCCAGGCUUUCCACCAGCAGCGGGGUGGCUGGGAGCCUCGCCCUCCCUGCUCCCACCUGCUUGCUUCCCAGAGGGUCAGGUCUCCUGCAGCUGCUGGACACUGAGGGACGCUGGCCACUGUGGGCAGUACAGCAUGGUGCUUGGCAGGCGGGGCCUGGAGCCUGCCGGGUCUCUCCUCCUCCAGCCUCGGCUGCCGUCCACAGAAUGGGAAAUACCUGUGACUUCCUGGGACAGGAUGGGAUGUGGUGGCUGCGUGGAUGUGCACCAUGAGCUUCCGGGCCACCCUGCUCGGCGCUGACCAGUCCUUACCAGGCCAUGAGCAAGGAGGGGCACCCCACAGGGAAGAGGGGGCCUCUUGCCCGGCGGCUGGGCUGACCUCCAACCUCUGACCCCUGACGGGCUGGAGCACCCCACAUGAACAAGGCACCUGUGCAGCAGAGACCUGAAAAAGAAGCAAAAGAAACCCUCGGGGAGAAGCAGUGCCCCUCCCGUGCGGCUCCUGCCCCUGGCAGGCCUUCUUUCUCCAAAUAGACCAAACAUGCCCUCCUGUCCAUCAUCCUCCCCGUCAUGGCCCUGGCUGCACCUCCGGAUGGAUCCAGCCCAAGCCCCGUCACACAGCAGUGGCCCGGUCCCCCUUGGAAUGGCGAGCCUGACCCUCCACCGCCAACCUCCUCUGACCUUCCGAGGCCCCUCUGACGCUCACACUGCUGAACUUCACAAGAACUUGGAGCAUCCCUUUCAAAUGGAAGGGCCGGAUCCUGCAGAUUAGGAGACUGAGUCCCAAAGAGGGGCAGUCGCUUGCCCAAGGCCAUGUGGCUGUUAGUGUUGGAGUCAGAAUUUGAAGCCAGGGAGGCUGAUCUUGGAACACCUGCUGUCAACAGAAACUUCUGACAAAAUACAGAGGACUGCCAUGCCUUCCGGGGUGUUCUCCCAGAGAUGCCCCUUCUGCUAUCCUGCCUGUGCUGCUGCCCUGAUCAUUACUGCAAAUGGCUGGAUUCAUCUUUGUCAAGUUUGCACUUUCACCAAAGUUUGAAUUAACGUCGACAUUAAUUUGCUGAUGAAGCGCCUGCAGUAGGUCAUAUAGCGUGAGCACCUGUGAUUUCCAAGGAAAUUAUUGUAAUGUGCUAAAUGGGAGAUUUAAAGGGCUUCCCCCCAGUGCAGCAGCUGGCACCACCCAGGAUUCCAGAGAGAACCAGACAGCAUGACCACGUUGGAGCCACAGGCUUUGCAACCGGAUCUCAGGAGCCACAUCGCAUCUUCUCUGCUCCUUCCAUCCCUAGAAUCCAGUCCUGAGUCACGCAGUCCAGCCCACAUCAGGGACAGGGGACUGCGCUGGCUAUGAGCACUGGGGGCCACCCCUAAGGUACCCACUGUGGCGGCAGCAGCGCCCUACUACGCAGAGUGGCCUUGAGAAAUGAGAAUCUGCGGCUCAGUGCCCAGCCUCCCAGCGCUCGCGGCUCAGCGAGUGUGAGAACCAGCUCCUCCUGUGUGUGCCUCCUCCUGCUGAAUCACAGCUUAAUUCCUCAAUGUCGAUGCCUCCCAUAUCCCAGGCUCUCUCUCUGGUGUUGAGGGACACUCAGAUGAAUGAGAUGUGGCCCCUGACCUGGAGAAUCCCACAAUUAAAGUGGGGCGUGGCAGGUGCUUUGAUGUGGGGGAGGCAAAGGGGAGGCGUCCCGCAGCAGGGAGCAGCAUCGCAUGUGCCCGGGGGCCCCCAGGUGGGCAUCCUCCUGUCAGAGCCCCUCCGGUGAGCCCAGACGCAAUGGGAUGAUUAACCCGUGUUCAGCACUACCGAGCCGUGAAUCUCGAUGAGCCGGUGUGUGCUGCCUGUAAGUGAGCCUUAUGUAACAGGGAUGCUGGAGCAGCUGGCGCCCGCACACAGCCCUUCUUUUAAAAUAGAUUGCUUGUCUUUAUAUAGCCCAAUGAUUCUUUCUUCUGGCUCUGCCGUCUUACAGAGGCGCUGAUGUAGGUCAAAUAUUGCUCGGUGAGAAUUAAUUAAUCUAUAAUUGUAUUGAAGGAAGGGGAGAAAAACAAGUAGAUGCUCAGUGCGCUAUACGGGUCGGGGAAUAAGCUUUGCAGAGGAAGUUUUAGGAGAGCCGCGGCCACUGCUCUCUCAGACUUGCUGGCCCUCGCCCUGCCCACCGCCCGCCCAGGGCCCCCAGAGAGUACGGGGCUUGGAGUUAGCUCUGAGCUCCAGAGGCUCCGCAGUCCCCAGCCCCAGCAGGAGCAUCACUUGGCCUGCUCUGGACCACCCGUGACAGGAGGCCUGGGCUCCCCUGUCACCGCCCGGGUCCUGCUCCUCACCGAGCUGUCCCCUCCCGUCUGCCCUGCCCCUCCUCCCUCUCACCCCUGAACCCACCUG
rnacentral:lncRNA from 1 species